ensembl:snoRNA small Cajal body-specific RNA 12
CCGGCUGAUGACACUAAGGCGAAUGCGACUCCGUGCUCUAUGACCCUUGGUUCCCUGGGGAAUGAGGGUUAGGGAUGGGAUCUGAAAUCUUAGUGGGGGUACCUGAGACCUGGCUCCCCACUGUAAGGCCAGAUCAAUAGCACUGCUGGCCUUGCCUCCAUUGCUGCUGCUGUCCCCAGUUCCCAGCAGCUGCCUGCAGGGGGGCCCACACGUGGGAACCAAAGUAAGGCUAAGCACGGGCCAUCUGAGCGCAACCUUGAAUCUGACA